GCUUGCAGUAUUCAGCUAUAGGUAAAGGGUGGGUAAGUUCCCCUCCCUCUCCCCUCCUUUAGCAGCUCAGAAUAAAGCACUAGGAGUAUCGGAAAUGAUUGAAUGAACCGUGCUUUGAUCUAUACCGAGGCUAAAUUCACUCACUGUAACUUGUUUGGUUGACUUCCUGAGCAUAUUGGCAGUAGUUGUGGCUUUAAAAGGCCUGCAGAUGAGCUGGUGGAUAAAAGCGGGCAUACACGGCACAAUAGAUGCUGAUACAAUAAAUGUAUAGAACCAUUGACUACCACAGUGAAUUCACACAAGAGUUCAUGAUACUUCAGCUUUUGACCCAGGUUCCUUGAUUCCCUAGAAGAAUUGUGCGGUUCCUUAUUGUCCUCAGUCUCGGGUGCCUCUACCUUCUGAGGUAGCCUGCCAGAAGAUGUAUCUUUCAUGACGCGUAAAGCUAAAGGAAGUCACCUCUCAAGUAUUCUAGAAUGGUACUGCCAACACCUGCAAGCAGUCAUAAGGUCUUUCCUCUCUUCCAGAAAGUUUCUGACCUGAUUAAAGCUGAGUGGCAAAAAACACUUGGAAUGUCUUAUUUGUCUCCCAGAGGACAAGAUUCUUAAAGCUGUAUCCUUUUUAGGAGUUAGAUGUCAAAGAUUAGAAUGCUGCUCCCUCGGUUGUCAACGAAGACUACCCUGCCAGCUGAUGACAGUCAAGCCCUUAGGGAUCCCAUGGAAAGACGGGUGGACUUAGACCUCAAGAAGGUUCUCUUGGUGGCACCUAGCAAUGUUCCUGCCCUUUGGUUUGUUCACCUUCACUCAAGCUUUUAAAAGACAACACCAUGGGAGUGGCCUAUGUCAAGAGAAAGGGAUGAAACCAGAAAUAGGACACUACUUCGGGAGGUCCAAACAAUCCUUUAUUGGGCAGAGGACAGUCUUCUGACUACUGAUCAUCUUCCUAGACUGGACAAUCAGGAAGCAGACUUCUUGAGUCAAAAUACCAUAUAAAGUCAUAACUUGAAUUAGGAGUUCUUCUCAUUCUCUGCGUUGUCGUGAAGCUCAUUUAGGACAAAAGCAAGAUGAUUCUGAUUGCAUCAAAUUGGCCACACAGGCCAUGGUAUCCAUUACUUCAUAAACGCUCAAUUGCGCAUUUCAAGGAGUAGGGGUUUUCUGAAUCAAGGGCCUCUACUUCAUCCAACAGUGCUUUCUAUCCAGGCUGGGAGGUUAAGCUCAAGAGGCUUACCAGUUUAGGACUAUUUCACAAUGUGGUUGACACUCUGCUAAUGGUUAGAUAGUCUAUUUAUUACUGAGUUUGGACAGUUCCUUCUACGGAGUACUCAGAAUAGUUGCAUAAUGGAUAAUGUCACUUUUUAGCAAAUAUUAAGCUUUCUCUAAGUGGGUCUGGAUAUGGGUCUGCAGUAUAGAACCCUUAAGGUUCAUAUGUCAGCUCUUUUGCACAGGAAGAACAUGGUCAGAAAACGCAAUAGUGAAAAGCUGCCCUUAAAGUUAAUCCCUCUAACUUGAAAUCUCCUGUGGGUUUUGAGGUCUUUAUCAAUUUUGCCAUUUGAACCCCUAGAAUCUUUAUUUGGCAUCUGACCUGCCUUAGCUUGCAGGGCAGGAGAAUUACAUGCUCUUUCCUGUAGAAUGCUAUCCAGAGAUUCAAGUGUAUUUAGAAAGUACAGCAAACUGUAGUGUUAGCUGAGAGCAGGAAGGGUCAAGCUUUAGCCAUUCCUACCAUCAUCAAAUGGAUGUCCCUGUGCAUUUCUAAACACACCAUGCUCAAGGCAAGCUAGGUCCGAAGGGCUUGGGGUAGUGAUGAGUGAAACUUUUCACCAGGUUUCACUGUGAAAACUGCCCAUAGACUCCAAUGUGUUGUAUAUAAAAAAGUAUCAUUGACUUCAAUGCACUUUGUGAAUUGUUACGGUUUUGCAAAUUCCGUGAGUUGGUGUCUUGAUCCUCGGCUCAAACCUCCAUCAACUAUUACCUAUAUCUAGUAAUCAUGCUUUUGCUACAGGUGCCUACCUGGCGGUUUUUUUUCUUCAUAAAAUUAAUAUUCAGCAGCA